GAUGAACGCUGGCGGCGUGCCUAAUACAUGCAAGUCGAGCGAACAGACGAGGAGCUUGCUCCUCUGACGUUAGCGGCGGACGGGUGAGUAACACGUGGAUAACCUACCUAUAAGACUGGGAUAACUUCGGGAAACCGGAGCUAAUACCGGAUAAUAUAUUGAACCGCAUGGUUCAAUAGUGAAAGACGGUUUUGCUGUCACUUAUAGAUGGAUCCGCGCCGCAUUAGCUAGUUGGUAAGGUAACGGCUUACCAAGGCGACGAUGCGUAGCCGACCUGAGAGGGUGAUCGGCCACACUGGAGCUGAGACACGGUCCAGACUCCUACGGGAGGCAGCAGUAGGGAAUCUUCCGCAAUGGGCGAAAGCCUGACGGAGCAACGCCGCGUGAGUGAUGAAGGUCUUCGGAUCGUAAAACUCUGUUAUUAGGGAAGAACAAAUGUGUAAGUAACUCUGCACAUCUUGACGGUACCUAAUCAGAAAGCCACGGCUAACUACGUG
rnacentral:rRNA from 1 species